CAGCAACAGGGUGCGGCCGGGUGGGGAACGCGGGAGCGGGGCCAGCUCCCAGGAAGGCUGGUCCGCGACCGGCUCCUGCUCGGCUCCCAGGUCCCUGCGCGCCCCCGCCCUUCCCGAGACCCCAGCCAGGCUGCCGCCCGCGUCCCGGAAGCUCCAGCCUGAACCAUGUUUUUCACUUGUGGCCCAAAUGAGGCCAUGGUGGUCUCCGGUAAGUACUGUUGUUCCCUUCCCAGCCAGUGACCCCAGAACCCCUGUGAGUCUGGCCUCUGCCCCUUCUCCCUCUCCCUACCAACUUCCCAGCGCCAGACUUCUGCCCCUUGAUGGCCACGAACUGGCCAGUUUGAUUCCCACCAUUCUAAGGCCCAGACUGCUUCCCCUCCAGCUCCCAGAUUCUCUCCUGUGGGUUGCUGUCCCCUCGCCACCCCCUCCCCCAGUUCCUCAGUCUUCCACAUUCAAGCUCUGCCACAUUUCCUCACUGCCCCUCACCUUGCAGGGUUCUGCCGAAGCCCCCCAGUCAUGGUGGCUGGAGGGCGUGUCUUUGUCCUGCCCUGCAUCCAACAGAUCCAGAGGUAGGCAAGAAGGGAACCAGGGAAGGGGGACCUCCGUUUUCUCUUUUUCCUCCUCUUCUUACUGUCUGCCCCUUCUUUUUCCCCUAGGAUCUCUCUCAACACACUGACCCUCAAUGUCAAGAGUGAAAAAGUUUACACUCGCCAUGGGGUCCCCAUCUCAGUCACUGGCAUUGCCCAGGUGAAGCUUUCAGAGCCUUUUCCCCAAAGUCCACUUCCCCAUCACCCUCUCUCCCAGACAUUAAGACAUCUUCUGGCCACAGCCUUCUUAACCCUUGCCUGCAGAGAAGUUCCUCUGCUAGUCUCAUCUUUUCCAGGCACCCCCAAGGCACUUGCCUCCUCCUCCUUUCUUUCCCUGAAAUGGAAGAAGCAUUUCUUAGAGGGCUCUCCCUUCUCUCUCUGCUUCUUCUCUGACUUCAUGAGACCCCACCACACCUUUCC
rnacentral:sRNA from 1 species